GACCGCGUAGCUCAGUUGGAAGAGCAUUGGGCUGGUAUUCCAAAGGUCGUAGGUUCGAAUCCCACUGUGGCCG